GCAUCACUUCCUCUGUGCCCGCCCGCUCUCAUCACCAGUAUCCUCCGACUUCCCUCUCUGUUGAUUCCAAGGAUCGUGGAUUGGCGAUCUGGUUUGAAUCUGUGCGCCCGUGAGAUCUGAUUCGAGGGCCGAGUUUGAUCGGCGUAAAGCGGGAGUUUAUUUUGCUCUCUUGUUCCUGUUGUUGUGUUGUUUGGAUCGCGCGGACAUGCGGCGGAGGGCGGCCGAGUUCCGGCGCCCGGCCAGAAGGCGGCUCUCCUACUGGAUCUGCUUGCUCCUCGGCGUCUUUGUCGCCGCGGGGUUCGUCCUCUUCGUCUUUCAACACCAUCAUCAAGAUCGGCUCGAGCCGCCCGUGAGGGACAAGGUUCCAGCUGAUAAGGAAAUCCCUCAUGAAACACAAAACCUUGGCCAGGAACUGUUAAAUACUACUUCCUUUGCCAGACAACUUGCUGACCAGAUGACACUAGCCAAGGCAUAUGUAAUCAUAGCCAAGGAGCAUAACAACCUUCGGCUUGCUUGGGAGCUCAGCUCGCAGGUAAGGAAUGGUCAACGGUUGCUCUCUCGAGCAGCUGUCAGAGGUAAACGAAUCACUCUAGAAGAAGCACAUCCGAUAGUUAGUCGACUAGCACAUCUUAUAUAUAAGGCCCAAGAUUCCAAUUAUGAUAUCAGCACAAUGAUAACAACACUGAAGAGCCACUCCCUUGCUCUUGAGGAGCGUGCAAAUGCAGCAACUGUGCAGAGUGCAGAGUUUGGUAAAUUAGCUGCAGAAGCCAUGCCCAAAAGUCUCCACUGUUUAAACAUAAAACUCACAGAGGAGUGGUUUAGAAAUCCAUCUUAUAGACAACUAUCAGAAGAGGGAAGGAACUUGCCUCUACUUGUUGACAAUAAUCUAUACCAUUUGUGUAUAUUCUCUGAUAAUGUACUGGCAACUUCUGUUGUCGUGAAUUCCACAGCCUCUAAUGCUGAUUAUCCACAGCAGCUUGUGUUUCAUGUGGUCACAGACAGUAUCAAUUACCAAGCUAUGACUACUUGGUUUCUCAGGAACGAAUUCAGAGGAUGUACAGUCGAAGUUCUAAGCAUCGACGACCUAGUUUGGUUGAAUGCCUCUUUCUCUCCAAUGGUCAAAAGAAUAAUGAGUGCUGAAACCCAGGCUUCUUACUUUGCUGGUAAUUCAAAAGAUCAGAGUAGGGAAACAAAGUUGAAGGACCCUAAUUAUGCUUCUUUGUUGAAUCACUUGCGCUUCUACAUCCCACAGAUACAGCCACAGUUGGAAAAGGUGGUGUUUCUUGAUGAUGAUGUGGUGGUACAGAAGGAUUUAACCCCUUUGUUCUCAGUGGAUUUGCACGGGAAUGUUAUUGGAGCUGUGGAGACUUGUCUAGAAGCAUUCCAUAGGUUCUACAGGUAUCUCAAUUUCUCCAAUCCAAUCAUUAGCUCAAAAUUUGAUCCACAAGCAUGCGGAUGGGCUUUUGGGAUGAACAUCUUUGACCUCGUAGCAUGGAAGAAGGCAAAUGUUACUGACAAGUAUCACUACUGGCAGGAGCAGAAUGCCGACCGGAUGCUCUGGAAGACAGGGACUCUUGCUCCUGGCCUUCUGGCAUUCUAUGGGCUGAUGGAACCCCUUGAUCGAAGAUGGCACAUACUCGGAUUGGGUUAUGACUCCAGUGUCGAUGAUAGGUUGAUUGAGAGUGCGGCUGUGGUGCACUUCAAUGGGAACAUGAAGCCGUGGCAUAAAUUAGCUAUAAGCAAGUAUAAGCAUUUAUGGGAACAAUACGUCAAUUUAUCUGAUCCAAUUAUUAAAGAUUGCAUAAUGCACUGAGAUGUGGAUAAUUGCCUGUUCUCUUUUUGUGUCCUCUGUCAAAAUAUUUUUGACAUGCAUCUCACAAAAUGGUACCUUUUGAGGGAGAAGGCCAGACGGUAGGCAGCAUCACCGGGCAUCAUGUAUUUGGGGGAAUUCAACAAUUCAUUCUGGAAGAUAUGACUCAGGUGCCUGAAGUUCAUAUGGAGUUUUGACUGCACAAGCACUUACAUCGGACUGCAGACUUUCAGCAUGUCACUCCAAAUAUAAGAUGAAAGUUUGAGAUUUUUUAUUUAUAGAUUCUUAAGCAUCCAUGUUAUAUGAUUGUCCAAGAAAAGAGAAGGGAGUGAUGGAAAAACAUGCAUCUGUCGGAUUACUCGGAUAUGUAUCAAAACAUUGGAUCAGCUUUUAUGGGUUUCACUUGCAGAAAAGUGGAUACAGGUAGCUUAUAUCAGCUUCUACAGGUCACCUACAGAAUUGCUUCGCUGUUUUUGCUAACAGGUUUCCAACAGAAUAUGAUCAUCAAAUGCUGCUGCAAACCUUCUUUAUUUUCAGUACUGCCACCAUCAUCCAUGAGAGAGCUUAUAUUGUGCAAAUAGGACCAAGCGAGAAUAGUUUGUCUGCAAUGACCUACACUUCAUCGAGGUGGUACUUAAGGUACAAGAUACUGAUGUUCCUAUAAUCAAUCAAUCAAUUACAUGAUGCAGCACAUGGUGCAGAUGAAGCUCCUCACCACAAAUAUUAAUGUAGGACGGUGAUCACUUGGCUCUUUCAGAGAAUUCAGUCAGCUCAGUGCAUGUUAUCGUCUCAUGUUUCCAGGAGACGAGCAUCCACGUGAGCUUUAUCCUUCAGACAAUCAAUCUGCCCCAGUUAUGGAGGAACAUGAGCUUCAUACCAUCCCCAGCUUGGCAGAGGACAAAGAAGAUUCAUGAGCUGCCAACCUCAAAGAAGAGGCCACGGUUUCCAACCAGUCCAUUCUUCUCAUUCCUCAAGACGCCCAAUGCAAUCUGCUCAGCCAUUAUAUAUACUGCAUGAACUCUGCUGAUUCCAUAUCAAAGAUCACUUCCUUCAGACACC